rnacentral:lncRNA from 1 species
AAUCUGCCGCAAAUAUAGGGAGUCCACUGUUCACACGGACAGAGUCUCCUCUGUAUUUGCACGGCAUCGUACAAGUACAAGAUACAUAACACAGGAUACAACCACCACAUAUGAACAUCCACAUAUUCAUACACCAUUCACAUUCACAUUCACAUUCACAUUCAGAAUUAUCCAUAAAUCCAUAAUUAUUAGUUUAAAAUGUUUCCUGCCUGGAAACUCGUUUUAAAACACUAAGUCAUGAAAACCAAGAAAAAUCUUUUAAAAACUGUUUUCCAUAUGAAAACCUUUUUCUUUUAAAACUCGUUACCACGAAGGGUAGAAAACUAUUUUCAUUUUGCAAGAAUCAUAAAUCCUUUAUUACAUUCAUAAAAUCCAAUUAUUCAAUUAACAUGAAAUAUUGAACCAUAAAUGUUGUCUAAGUUAUUUAUUGAAGGAAACUAAGUUUAAGAGUUUAAACCAAAUAACGGGACGGUGGCUCUACUGAUCACUAAGUACGCUCCUCAAUAUUCGCCCCACUAGAACCCGCGACGUUACCUGUAAUGGGGGUAGGGGUGAGAAUAUGUACACAUGUCUCCCCUCCCAGUGGGUACCGCAAGCCGACGAGGGCGAGGGUACUCACGAAUCACGGAGGAUAAUAACAAGUAUAGAUAAUGGUAAUACAGUAGUAAUGAUAAACAAAAAAAACGAGAUGUAUAUAUGAAUCACUACCGCUACUGUAUGUAUGCAUCAACUGGACGACUAGUCCAAAAGUACCCAAUAAAAAAUAAGCCAUAUUGGUCCGCACACCUCAGGCUUGUGCCACACUUGCUCUUAUAUAUAAAUGAUCCUCGCAUAAGCACCCGGGUCUAAAAGCAUAUGACCCUCGCAUAAAGCACCCGAGUCUGAAAGCAUAUAACCCCUCUUGGGCUCACGGGCUGGCACUCCAACCACUUUUUCGAAAAAAAACACUCUCUUGCGGUGAAUCAGACUUCUGGUGUUUGUAAAAUGCAUACGAGCAGUGGCGAUCGAUGCAGAUAUGCUCAAUAGCCAAACAUCGGCAACUAGCUGACAAUCCAACCCCUCAGGGUAUACUGACCGCGUAAGUCACCAAGUAGUCCAACUGACCAAGUAGAUCACAAUAAUAGAUGUAGUGAAUCGAUCGAAUAGGUCACAGUACGAGAUACAAGAACAGACCGACUAGGUCACAAAACAUUGGCAACUAGCCGACAAUCCAACCUUAUACACUAAUACAUACCGCGAUAAUCAAAGCCAAUAGCUAGGCUCUAGCCGCUCAUCAACCAAGAUUCCGAACCUCCCGGCAAAAGCUGAGACCACCAACCAACGCAAACCUUUUAGUUGUGCAAGACACAACUAAAGAGCUAACGAGCACCUAGACUCGAACCAGAGUCAAUACCUUCUGCGGUGAUGAUAAAUCAGCCGCGCAAAAACCCUCCACGUGGUCAGAGAUGACCAACACUUCAGCUUUUCCACAAGACAAUCUAUAGAGAUUGUCUUGCAAGAGACAACACCGACCCAAUCCAAAAGUCCCAAACGAGAUAUGGGUAUUUCAUCCAAACUUUUGACAGUACAUUGUCUGCAGCCAAUAUACUUACCAAAAGAAAACCAAAAUACUCGAAGAUCCACUGCCAACAACAAGUUGGGAGCGCGACACAUUGAAGUAUCAAGCCACCUGAUACCUCUUUACUGAACCCAAAAAUUUUCAACCAAAUCGUCGAAACAUCGAUUUUGCAAGUCGACAUUCGAAAUCAGAUCAACCUUGAACUGAUUCACUAGGAGUCCCUUAGCUUUCAGCAUGCAAAAGCUGCUAGCGACACUAAGCCGCGAACUGCAUAAAUUGUGGCUUUAGGAAACGAUUUAUCUAACCAAUUUUCGCACCACAACUGAAUAAUAGUCAACACUCCGACAAUACACUAGAGUAUCUCGAGUAAAGACGGAUCCUACCAAAACACUGACUAACCCACAACACACCAAUUUAGGUGUUGGAAUAACUGCAUACGAUGUAUGCAUUAACAGAGACCUGACACCAAAACUGUGUCUAUCCAGUUCUAGUACACGUCAAUUUGAUGUAUGAACUAGUUAAAGGUCAAAAGACCCACACCGACGAUUCCACUAGCCAUCAAGAAAGAGAGGUAGGCAUCACAACCCUACCCCAAAAAUCUGUGGAAAGAACACCAACAUUGUAGUCGCAUAAACGACCGCUAUCAAAACCCUGGACUACACCUUAGCAGCCUUACAGAAGUCGCGACCGUAACAGGUCUUAGUGUCGUCUCCGUAGAGACACUCACAGUAGCUCUCGUGCCCUAAGUAGGAAGAGUGGCCUGGGCGUCGGCAGUUAAGACACUCGCUGUCACGCCCCGAGCCCUGCCUAUUUGGCCGAGUUCGGGCGCGUCGACAGACCGCCGAACGGACAGAGUUUCCCCUGUACGUCCUAGGCGUCGCAAUCAAUAUAAUGAACAUUACAAGGGUUCCAACCAGGAACAGAUAUCAAUCAAGAUUGCAUAGCGGGAGGUAUCAAAAACAUAACACAUCCUAUGUUAUUACAAGCANAACAGAUUGUUUCAUCAAUAACUUCGCGUACGCUCGUCGGAUUGUCGAACCGAGCGCACCAACGCGUUCGUUAUACCCCCAAUUAGGUUUGUAUAGGGUCAAUUGAGAUCAAAACCCCUCACAAGCAAAAGCCCUCUUUUUGGAGCCCUAGAUGCAAUUAUAGCAAAAUACUCCAAUUCAUCUCAUGAAUCAAGCAUAAACCAUCUAUUAAGCUUGCUAGAAAUCCAAUUAAACCAUUUCUAGAGAUCAAAUCCCUACAUCUAGGGAUUUACCAUGAGAGGGCUAAGGGCUUACCUCUCCAAAGCUUGCUCCAAGGUGAGGAAGAAGAUGGAGGUGAUGAAAACCUCCUCCUUGAUCUUCUUCUCCUUCUUAUUCUUCUUCUUCUUCUUUCUCUUCUUCUUCUCUUCUUCUUCCUCUUUUCGUUUAGAGAGAGAGAGGGAGAGAGAAAUGUGAGGGAGUGAGAGGAAUGAGAGAAAGAGAGAGAGAAAGAGCUCUCAUAACCCCCUCUCAUAUUAUAACAUUUCUAAAUAAGCCCCCCAACUCUUCUAGCCUUACAACAGCCCAAACUGGGCAUUUUUCGCGUUCUGAGACCGGUCCUUGCGGUGAGAGACCGGUCCCCGAAAGGCCAGAAUUUCAGCAUUUUAGGACUUAGCCAAAUUUCAGCCUUUUUCGUUUUCGGGGUCCGUUUUCGCUCGUUUUUGCUCGUUUGACCUCCGAUUCGUCUCAAAUCGAACCGAGACUCUCCAAACAUGUUCUCGAGCGUAUUUUCAUCAUCUUUUCACCCACGCUAAUGCCGGAUUUAGCUCACGGCCCAACAUAGCCUUUCGGGUCUCGUUUCCGCGCCUAUGCGCACCGAAGUGCCCGAACGCUUCCGAGCUUCACCGAACUUCACCCGAACCAUUCAAAUGGCUUCCUAGCCUCAUGUAAACCGUAACUUCAUAGUUUUAGAAGUCCGAUACCUUACACUCGCCUAGGCCCAAAAAUCACUGGCCUUUCAAGGCCCCACCUGAUAGGAGUGGCUACACCUGGUGAACGUCACCCAGCCACUGGAUGUCUCUAUAUCUACACCGCCACUACUCCUGACUGCAACACGAGUUGUGCGAAAAUCGUAGCACGUACAAAAAACCACCAUGACUCACAUCAAAAACUAUGUCCCUUCCAAUUUGUUUAGCAUUGAUAUCAAGGAUUACCAUGACUAUUAACGAGAAGAUAAUAGGAAUGCAGGUAAGCAUGGUACGUACAACAGUUCAAGAGACUUCCAUAAUUAAUCAAGGUAACCACGUAAACUGAAAUUCAUACCUGAGCUCCCGCGUAUGGGCACAUUCAUCGGUUGAGUCAAAUCAGAAACAAGUCCGCCAACUGCUUGCAGCGAAGUCACCAGAGGAGAAGUCGCAUCCCGCAGCGGUCCAUUACCCCUAGGGCAAUCUCGACGUAAAUGACCCGACUGACCGCAUCGAUAACAACGGUCCCGACGUCGAAGGCAGGAGGUCACCCGAUGCGCUUGACCGCUGCUCGAUGACCCACCCUCCACAUUUAAACGAGGCCGCUUUCUGAAUGCAUUUUCGUUCGAACUCCCUUUCAGAACAAAGUCCACCCGUUUGUUCGAGGGCUCUGACGAUUUACCAAUCUUAAAUUCCGUCAAGUUCCCUCUCACGCGGGCUAGCUCUAUGGCCAGAGGGUCAACGCCCUCGGUAGAAAUAGUGGAUGUCGCCAUGCUAGGUAUAAUGUCAGUAGCGCCCAUGAAUCUAGGGCCAUCCGUCACCAGCAUAACUCCUGUGACCACCGUGGCUGACGUAGGUACGAUCGUCGUGGCACCCAGAAAUGACACUCUAGUGGCUUAAUCACCAGGAGGUCCAUUAACUGCCUCGCAGGCCAUAUCAACAACAUUACUCGCAGCAAUACCUGCAUUCGUGCCCGACGACGGAGCCUAAACCACUCCAGCUGCAGCCUGCUGCUGCAACACCUACUAGACUAAACCGGCCAGUGCAGCCAACUGCUCCUCCAACCGUCGGAGGCCGUGCACAACAGUAGAAGCCUCAACGUUAGCACGUUGUCUCUCUCCACUGCGUGUCAUGUGUUGAAACAGAUAGGGUUAGAGUCAAAUUAAAAAUGAACCGACUCAGCUCUAUUUACCAUGACUCAAACCCAACCAACCCCGCACUCUCGCGUGCCUAUAUACCGUAGGUCUUUCUAUCGGUCAACCUAACCAAUGGUUCAGUUUAUUUAUUUUUUUAAAAUAACCUGUGAAUGGUGCCGUGGUUGUAACUUGUCUCUGAUAUCACUUUAAUCUGUCAUACCCCGGGGUCUCUUUUUGAUAUACAUUCAAUGUGGAAGUGCCUAAAUUUUUUUUUUUUUUUUUAAAACCUAACCCCCAGGGUAUGCCAGAUCCGCCACAAAUAUAGGGAGUUCACUGUUCACGCGGACAGAGUCUCCCCUGUAUUUGCACGGUGUCGUACAAAUACAAGAUACAUAACACAGGAUACAACCACCACAUAUGAACACCCACAUUUCAUACACUAUUCACAUUCACAUUCAGAAUUAUCCAUAAAUCCACAACUAUUAGUUUAAAAUGUUUCCUACCUGAAAACUCGUUUUAAAACACUAAGUCAUGAAAACCAAGAAAAACUUUUAAAAAACUGUUUCUCACACGGAAACCUUUUCCUUUUAAAACUCGCUACCACGAGGGGUAGAAAACCAUUUUCAUUUUGCAAGAAUCAUAAAUCCUUUAUUACAUUCAUAAAAUCCCAAUUAUUCAAUUAACAUGAAAUACUGAACCAUAAAUACUAUCUAAGUUAUUUAUUG